rnacentral:rRNA from 1 species
UGGGGAAUUUUGGACAAUGGGCGCAAGCCUGAUCCAGCAAUGCCGCGUGCAUGAUGAAGGCCUUCGGGUUGUAAAAUGCUGUCACCCGGGACGAAAAAAAUGACGGUACCGGGGGAGGAAGCCGCGGCUAACUACGUGCCAGCAGCCGCGGUAAUACGUAGGUGGCGAGCGUUGUUCGGAUUUAUUGGGCGUAAAGGGUCUGUAGGAGGUUUCUUAAAUUCGAGGUGAAAUCCCGGAGCUCAACUUCGGAACUGCCUUGGAGACUGGGAGACUAGAGUACUGGAGAGGUAAGCGGAAUACCAAGUGUAGCGGUGGAAGGCGUGGAUAUUUGGUAGAACACCUAGAGCGAAGGCAGCUUGCUGGACAGAAACUGACUCUGAGGGACGAAAGCGUGGGGAGCAAACA